UACCAGCACCCCGAGUGGUCGGGACGAUUAUUGGGCCUAAAGCAUCCGUAGCCGGUCCUGCAAGUCUUCCGUUAAAUCCAACUGCUUAACAGAUGGGCUGCGGAGGAUACUAUAAGACUAGGAGGCAGGAGAGGCAAGCGGUACUCAGUGGGUAGGGGUAAAAUCCAUUGAUCCAUUGAAGACCACCAGUGGCGAAGGCGGCUUGCCAGAAUGCGCUCGACGGUGAGGGAUGAAAGCUGGGGGAGCAACCGG
rnacentral:rRNA from 1 species